GGUGAAGAACGUAGCGAAAUGCGAUAAGUAAUGUGAAUUGCAGAAUUCAGUGAAUCAUCGAAUCUUUGAACGCACAUUGCGCCCGCCAGUAUUCUGGCGGGCAUGCCUGUCCGAGCGUCAUUUCAACCCUCGGGCCCCCCUCUGCGGGCGGCCCGGCGUUGGGGCUCAGGCGCCGUCUCUGCUCGGCGCCUGUCCCCUAAAUGCAGUGGCGGCCUCGCCGCUGCCUCCUCCGCGUAGUAGCACAAACCUCGCGGCUGGAAGGCGGCGCGGCCACGCCGUAAAACCCCCCAACUUUACCAAGGUUGACCUCGGAUCAGGUAGGAAUACCCGCUGAACUUAAGCAUAUCAAUAAGCGGAGA
rnacentral:misc_RNA from 1 species